rnacentral:lncRNA from 1 species
AUCCCAGUCCCUCCCAGUCCAUCCCAGUUCCAUCCCAGUCCCUCCCAGUCCAUCCCAGUUCCCUCCCUGCCCCAUCCCGGUGCCACCGCGGUGCCACCCGAGCCCCACGCCGGUGCCACCGCUCAGCCCGGCUGUCCUUGCAGGUGGAGGCCUUUGUGACACUCCUGAGUGCCCGCCCUGUGCCACCCCAUGCCCACAGCCCUGGCACCGCGUGCGGGGCGGCGUCCGCGUGAGCACCCCGAGGACAGGGGACAGGACCCCAAGGACAGGGGACGGGACCCCGAGGACAGGGGACACCAUCCUGAGGCCAUGGGACACGACCCCGAGGAGAGGGGACACGAUCCUGGAUCCUGAGGAGAGGGAACACGACCCCAGGGACAGGGGACACCUCCCGAGGACAAGGGACACAAUCCUAAAGACAAGAGACAUGAUCCCAAGGACAAGGGACAUGAUCCCAAGGACAGGGAACACCAUCCUAAAGACAAGGGACACGAUCCCAAGGACAAGGGACACGAUCCCAAGGACAGGGAACACCAUCCUUAAGACAAGGGACACGAUCCUAAAGACAAGAGACACGAUCCCAAGGACAAGGGACAUAAUCCCAAGGACAGGGGACACAGGGACACAGUCCCAAGGACGGGGGACACGUCCUGGUCCCCGCUGUCCUCCACCCCUCUCCUGGCCAGGGUGGAUCCUCGGAGCCAUUUUGGGGUCGGGGGCUCCCCGUGCCCCGGUCCUCGCUGUGACCCCUGCCCGUUUUUAGGGUGGAUUUUCUGCGGAGUUCCCAUGGAAAAUCCUGGUGGGAAUUCCCCCCCAAGCCCCGUCUUUGUAAUUUUGUAUUUAAUUUUUUUCCCCUUAAAUUAAGAUGGAAUCACUGAGGAACUGCUCCGUGUCUUGGGGUGACCCUAAGGGGACAUGGGGGGAUGUUGUUCCCCCAGUUUUGGGGUCUUGUGAUGGGGGUUUGGGGGAAAACCAAGGGGAUUUGGCACCUCAGAGUGGGGCGGGGGACAGUGCUCGGCCUGGUGUGAGGCCCUACAAAACACAGGAGCGGGAUGGGGGUGGUGGUUUGGGGUUUGGGGGCUCUGGGGUGGGAUAUGAGGUAGGAAAUGCGGGAA